GAUGAACGCUGGCGGCGUGCUUAACACAUGCAAGUCGAACGGAAAGGCUCCUGCUUGCAGGGGUACUCGAGUGGCGAACGGGUGAGUAACACGUGGGUGAUCUGCCCUGCACUUCGGGAUAAGCCUGGGAAACUGGGUCUAAUACCGGAUAGGACCACAUUUUGGAUGGUGUGGUGGAAAGUUUUUCGGUGUGGGAUGAGCUCGCGGCCUAUCAGCUUGUUGGUGUGGUAAUGGCCUACCAAGGCGUCGACGGGUAGCCGGCCUGAGAGGGUGUACGGCCACAUUGGGACUGAGAUACGGCCCAGACUCCUACGGAAGGCAGCAGUGGGGAAUAUUGCACAAUGGGCGCAAGCCUGAUGCAGCGACGCCGCGUGGGGGAUGACGGCCUUCGGGUUGUAAACUCCUUUCGCUAGGGACGAAGCGCAAGUGACGGUACCUGGAGAAGAAGCACCGGCUAACUACGUG
rnacentral:rRNA from 1 species